ensembl:snRNA U2 U2 spliceosomal RNA
AUCGCUUCUCGGCCUUUUGGCUAAGAUCAAGUGUAGAUGUAAUUACUGGAGAUAUUUUCAGAAAUAAUAAUAAUUACUUUUUAAGUAAUGGCGAUUCAAACCAUC